CCUGCUUUGACAGAAUCACGUUAAUCACUCCAACAGGACUGCAGCCACCAUUUCAUCAGACUGCUACCACCACCCUGCCCAACGGGGUGUCAGAACAGAAUUUCCCAUCCCCAAACCUUUGCCACAUGGAGGAGGAGGCUGCAAGGACAAGGAAGGAGCCCUGGGACACCCAGGCAGACAAGGAGCUAAGGAUGGAGACCAGGGAGGACAAAUCCCCACGGCAGAACCUCAUGGCAGAGGCCGUUUUGAGCAGCUCCAUGGCACAGGAAUCCAAUGGGGAGGAAAAUCCCCGGAGAUCCCGCAGGAGGAGGGGCUCCAAGC